CUUGAGAGGAGUCUGUUAAUGACUACAAAGAUCCACAGCUGUUUACAGUUUAGACUCAGUGGUGGACCAGGCAAUAAGCUUGAUCCAACAAUGAAGUUGUGGGACUCUCACAGCAAGCAGAGACAUUGUGUCAACUGUCUGCUUGCUCCUAGUGAGUACCAGGACAGCUUAGCAGGGCCCCACGGAGCUGGGAAAGGAGCAGUUAAGAUGGUUCCCAGAACUUCCACAGCUGCUGCCAAGGGGUUGUUACAAGAUCACAGAAAGCCUUAAGGACAUGUCUGUGUGGGUGGGCAGCUGAUCAGUUUAUUUAUUGAUUGACCAGAUAGUAUUCAGUACAAAAAUUCAAAGGGGAAGGACGAAAAUAUUUCUGGUAAGAUGAAACCCUCCAUAUUUACCAAAUAGAUUAUCCCCAACAGGAAAUACUUACUUGAUGGCUUGAUUGCAGAGCCAGGCAGGUCCUCGGCCUCACUGGCUUCACUGGAGUGCUGACAAUUUACCAAUGGAAGAUCUGUGCCCCCAAGACAGUUUCUUAAUGCAAUGGCAAGCUCUUAAAUUUAUGAAAAGCAGGACACGGGAAAUACAAACAUGAAAUAUCUUUUAUUCAGUCUCUUUUCUCACAUACAGGAUUUUCUAAUAUACACAGCUCCAAAAAAGCAGGAAGAUAAAGCAGUAGAAAUGUGUAAAUUCAUAACAUUCUGUUUGAAACUGAACUCUAAUUUUUGACUCAUAUAUGAAGUGCACCUACAGUAUAAAAAGGGGAGCAGAAUAGCUACUGAAAAGCAACCUCCUUUAAGGGCACAGCUGUGCUGCAACUUUCCUUGACUUUCUGACUGCCUAAGACCUUAAGCACUCAAGACUUGCAGCACCAUUUUAGACUCAGAGCCCUGCCCACCCUCAGCUUUCAAAAUAUCCUUUUCAUGUGAGAAGGUUAAAACUGGAUGCCCAAUCUCCAGAGUGUGCCUGUGAACUGCCCUCUGAAAAUAUACCACUCUACCCUGUGCCACUGAUGCUAAAAAGAGCUGUCACCAGAGAAGAUAAAGGGAUUUCUAUGAUCACACAGCUUUUCCAAAUUCAAGCUCACAUCAGAGAGUGAAGGAAUGUCUUUGCGUGGCACCUGCCUACAUAUUUUCUGGAGUGACUGCAAUCUAAAUAUUGCCAGCUGAUAAGAACAAGAAUACUUUACUGUGCCAUGUAACAGUGUUCACCAGGACUGUCUGUUGUUAUUCAGCAGCAGGAGGUCAGAAAACAGGGCAAAAAUCUGUACCAUAAAUGGAUCAUACUGGUGAUUCCAGGCCUCAUGGACCAAAAUAUCGCAUGACUACAUAAUUUGUGUCUGUUCAUGCACCCUCAUUUUACAUUCAAUUUCUUCAACGGUUUGGAAAAGUCUUUUAGCAUCAAGUAAGUCAGAUCAAAGUAAACGUAUAAUAUGCAUGAACAGGUCCACUUUGUAUAAUAUUAACAAUGUAAUUUCUGUCAGAAAAAUGAAAUUAAGAAUGUAAAAAAAAAAAAAAUUAAAAAGUGAUUAAAAGCAACGAGGCAGCAAGCAAAGCAGUGGAUGUCUGUACUUGGGGGAGGGAGGGGUUACUGUAACACACAAAGCUUUUUGUCAUCCCACUCAGCCCUCUCUAUAGCUUAUUGCUACAAUAACAUCUUGGACUGUAGAUACUAUUCUCUAUUGAUACCUAAGGGGCAAAGCCUUUAGGUGAUACCCAUUGCAAAAUAUUUUUAUUUCUCAUCCAUUUAAGAUGUCCAUUUAUACUCCCUUAAGAAACGGAAACUGUUUUUUUUGUAGACUCUUAUCUCAGUUUUGGUUAAAGUCUGAAUCAUAGCACUUACAUCUUUUCCCUCUACUUAUUUUUCACCUGUAAUAUGAAAGCAAAAGAAGCUACUGCAGCAAGUGCAUGCCACUGUGUCAGGUUGUGGGAUAUAGGAUUUAAAAAGACCUGCUAUAAUUUCAACGUGCUAUGCUUCAUCAAUUGAGUAGCGAAAGACUGUUGCAGCUUUUUGUUUAAUUUUGUUAAAAAAUAAAUAUGUGCUACCCCAUGGAUAAGGUUUUAUU
ensembl:lncRNA